CGGAAAAGGUCAGCCUCUCCCGGAAGCGGAAACCCCCUCUGGUCCGCUGUCACGUCGGACUAGGUGCUGCCACCUCUGCUGCCUCCUGGUGGGAUCCAGGAAACACUACGAGGAGAACCCGCGGGGAUGUCGGCCAGAGGACAAGCUGCAGCCCAGGGACAUUUGGGCAAACAACUGAAUGGUGGUUUGCUGGUGAAGUGUUUAUAGAGAAUUCAACUCCAUGGCUGGAAGAGACUCUGGCCUUCCACAGAGGCGGUCUGGUUCUCCCCACAAACGUCCUCACAGCUGAAGUGACUCUGAGAUGCGCUUCUCCGGGUGGGAGGAUUUGCUCCAUGUAGCUUUUCCCAUACACAGGGAGGGUGUUUACAGCUCUGCUUCAUAGCACCUGAUGCUGCAGGAGUGUGAGGGGCUGACCCUUGCUGGGAGAACUAAGCACAGAUGAAUGUGUCACUGAGAAGGAAUUUCGUAACAUAUGUGCUCUUCAAAGUUUUUAUUGAGUCCAAAUGGACUGCAAAUACAGUCCUCUGCUGCCUCUCGGGCCAAUGAAUUCAGGUUCCAAGAUCCCCAGGACACCCCCAUUCUGUCUUCAUCCCUUGCAUCUGCUUCCCUUUGCAGGUUGGCCUCAUUUUCCUAAUCCCAUUGCCCCCAUUGAAGCAGGAGCAGCUGCAAACCUCUCAAACACCGAACAGGGAAGGAAGUUAAGGUAUUUUCACCUGCUGCUCAGCUGGGAGCUGCAGCAGGUGAAAAUACAAACAACUGAGCUCUUCGACGAAGAAAAUCCUUGCCCUUUUAAAGUCUUAUAAUUCUAGAAAUUACAUGUGAAAGGGUCUUGAUCCAUGAAGUAGGCGUGGGGUACGUGACUAGGUGGGGGUUUGAUCGUGUUUAAGCAAAAACAGUGCCUUCUGGAAAGAUUCCUCCAUACCAUGCCAGGGAUCUAUAGGAGUGUGAUUAAGGGUGGCACCCGGUCUGCCAGCCUUUACUUCUACUGAAAUGCAAUAUAGAAGUCUAGGGGGAAGGGCUCUCAGAAGCUUAAGAGAAUUAAGGGUCUCUUUCCUCACCGUGAAGCUGGAGCUUUGCAAGAGAAACUCUCAUCUCUAACCUGUGAGUGGAAAAUGCUAGGGAAGGGUUCUGAAUGGCUUGGCUUGGCCCCAUGCCUCUCCUUGGUCUAGUCAUGGGAGCCAAAGAGAUGGGUCACUUACAGCCAGCUUGGGUCAUCUGCCCCAUUGCUGCGGCCAGUGCCCUCAGCAGAAAAGAUCACGGGGUCAGCAAGGAGGGCAGCCUCCUCAAAGCUCAGAGCUGUGUAGGCAUGGGGGCCACACGGCAGCAUGAGACCAUCCUCGUGCUCUACAACCUGGUACAAGUGAGUUGGGGAAGAUGUUGAUUGAUACACAUAUGAAGACAUUAUAAAGUCAACCCUUAAUGUGUCCCGUGGAAUUCAGUGGAAGGAGAGAGAACAUCAGAGAUUGAUGCCAUGGGGCAGGAGGAAGCCCAGGCCAGUGGUGAGAAAUUGCGCUGGAUACCAGCUAUCCAGGGGGGACUGACUAUCAGAGAUCCUGGAAGCCACAGGGGGAAGAAGAGUAGAUUCUCCAUCACUGGAGCUUCCUUAUACAUGAGGAGAGACAGCCAGGUAAGGAGUGUGCUGGGGAGGGGGGAAGAGCCUCAGCAGCAAGUGAAGGUGGCACCACUCCCUCCAUCACCGCCCCGGGUCCCCAGUGGCCUGGAGAGGGCCAUGAAUUUCAGCAUUCCCUGUGUGACUCACCAGUAGGGUACUGGCCUCACCAUUUUGCCUGUCUCUGCCUGGGCUUCACUCACUUUAUACCAGUGGAGAUCUCAAACUGCAGCAUGCCUAAGACUUACAGAGGGAACACGGGUAAAACACUGGCAUUGGGGACAGUCCCAGGGUGGGUAGGAUAGUUUAGUGGGUCUAGAGAGGGGCCUGACAGUCUGCAUUUUUAAUAGGCUGCCCCAGGUGAUUCUGAUAUAGCUGGUGCAGCAUGCUUUGCUGGGUGGUACAACAGGGUAAUGUCAGAGAGAAAGGAGGAAGAGAUUUGUGGCUGUUGCUAUUUGUUAGAGGCUGACUUCUGAUGUUGACGCAAUAGACCCUGCAAAGCUCUGAGCUGGGCAGGAAUACGGGCCACAUAAGCAGCAUGAAACACAUAAGCUCUAGGACCUAGUAUCCCUGGGUUGGGGACGACAUGGAAUGAUGCUCAUAUGAAGAAACUGUGAAGUCACCUCUCAUUGGGUGGGGUGAAAUUCCAUAGAAGGAGACAGUGCAGAGAGCAUCCCCAAUCUAACUUGGGGAUGUGGAUUCCCAAUGAUUUGAGCAGUCAUUUAAACUUAAUGAGCAAAUGAAAGGAGUGGGCAAAAGAAAACAUAAAUGUUUCCUAAACUGGGGAUGGGUGGGAAAGAAAUGACUGGAAAAGGGAGAGUCAAAAAUCAGGGAAACACAGACCAAGUGAGGGGUGGAGAAGAGAACAAGAGCAAGAAGGGAUUCUUUUUGAAAGGCCACUUUAUUGAUGGAGAUAAAACUGAAUGGAGCGCCCCACAGCCCUCCCCUCACUCACGUUAGUGGCUUCACUGGGCAUCUGAGACCAGCGUGGCCUGAAACCCACAUAGGCUGGGCUGCUUAGCCCCCCAGCCUAUCACACCGCCCGCUCCAUGUCAGGCAGCCACAUAAAAACACGUCACAGCUCACGAAGAUUCGUGGAUGCACCUCUGAAUCCCCCCCACAAUGGUUUCUGUGCAUUUUUUUUUAAUAUUGUACAAAAUAUGUUAACUAGGAAAAGUUAGCUGUUCUGUGACAAGUGCGGGACGUCCUAUGAGGAUUCCCGUCCCCCAGGCAUUACUUCUUAUUGCAGUAAGACCUCUAAAAGGUGGCGCUGUACAAACAAAAAAAUCUAAAGGAUU